rnacentral:siRNA from 1 species
CUUGUCGCUCUGCAAUUCUUCCA